rnacentral:rRNA from 1 species
AGAGAGAGACAUGCGCGCAUAUCAAUAAGCGGAGGAAAAGAAACUAACAAGGAUUCCCCUAGUAACGGCGAGUGAAGCGGGAAGAGCUCAAAUUUGAAAUCUUAAAGGGUUUCCCUUUACGAAUUGUAGUUUAAAGAAGUGUUUUCUGUUGAGGUUUUGGUAAAAGUUCUUUGGAAUAAGACAUCAUAGAGGGUGAGAAUCCCGUAUUUGACCUUUACUUUCAACUUUGUGAUACACUUUCAAAGAGUCGGAUUGUUUGGGAAUGCAGUCCAAAAUGGGUGGUAAAUUUCAUCUAAAGCUAAAUAUUGGCGAGAGACCGAUAGCGAACAAGUACCGUGAGGGAAAGAUGAAAAGAACUUUGAAAAGAGAGUUAAACAGUACGUGAAAUUGUCAAAAGGGAAGCGUUUGACACCAGUGUUGUUUUUCUGAAAAUCAAUUAAAGAACUGUUUAUGCUAAGUUGUUUAGACUUUAUCAGCUAUCUGUUUAGUUUUGAGCUUUUCUUUAAUGCACUUUUCAGUUAACAAGUCAACAUCAAUUUCUUUUGCUGUAAAAAAGCUUGAGGAAGGUGGCUUGAGAUUCGUCUUAAGUGUUUAUAGCCUCUUGCCUAUGCAGUCGGAGAGAUUGAGGUCUGCAGCGUAGAUCCUUCGGGGCUAAAUGCAUUUGUGCUAAGUUAUAGCAUUUUAUAGACAACUUGUUGACUAUGAUUUGUCUUGUAGCUUACUCGCUUAUGUUAUUUUACCUACGCUUAGGAUGUUGAGCGCAUGUCUCUCUCU